AGGGGGGSCAAGCGUUKUUYGGAAUUACUGGGSGUAAAGGGUUCGUAGGUGGCCAWYUAARUCAGAUGUGAAAUCCCUCAGCUUAACUGGGGAACUGCUUCUGAUACUGGUUGGCUUGAGUGCAGGAGAGGAAUGCGGAAUUCCAGGUGUAGCGGUGAAAUGCGUAGAUAUCUGGAGGAACACCGGUGGCGAAGGCGGCAUUCUGGRCUGUAACUGACACUGAGGAACGAAAGCCAGGGGAGCAAACGGGAUUAGAUACCCCGGUAGUCCUGGCCCUAAACGAUGAAUGCUUGGUGUGGSGGGUAUCGAUCCCU
rnacentral:rRNA from 1 species